UAGGGAAUCUUCGGCAAUGGACGGAAGUCUGACCGAGCAACGCCGCGUGAGUGAAGAAGGUUUUCGGAUCGUAAAGCUCUGUUGUUAGAGAAGAACGUUGGUAGGAGUGGAAAAUCUACCAAGUGACGGUAACUAACCAGAAAGGGACGGCUAACUACGUGUCAGCAGCCGCGGUAAUACGUAGGUCCCGAGCGUUGUCCGGAUUUAUUUGGCGUAAAGCGAGCGCAGGCGGUUCUUUAAGUCUGAAGUUAAAGGCAGUGGCUUAACCAUUGUACGCUUUGGAAACUGGAGGACUUGAGUGCAGAAGGGGAGAGUGGAAUUCCAUGUGUAGCGGUGAAAUGCGUAGAUAUAUGGAGGAACACCGGUGGCGAAAGCGGCUCUCUGGUCUGUAACUGACGCUGAGGCUCGAAAGCGUGGGGAGCAAACAGG
rnacentral:rRNA from 1 species